UGGGGAAUAUUGGACAAUGGGUGAAAGCCUGAUCCAGCCAUGCCGCGUGUGUGAAGAAGGUCUUCGGAUUGUAAAGCACUUUAAGUUGGGAGGAAGGGCAUUAACCUAAUACGUUAGUGUUUUGACGUUACCGACAGAAUAAGCACCGGCUAACUCUGUGCCAGCAGCCGCGGUAAUACAGAGGGUGCAAGCGUUAAUCGGAAUUACUGGGCGUAAAGCGCGCGUAGGUGGUUUGUUAAGUUGGAUGUGAAAUCCCCGGGCUCAACCUGGGAACUGCAUUCAAAACUGACUGACUAGAGUAUGGUAGAGGGUGGUGGAAUUUCCUGUGUAGCGGUGAAAUGCGUAGAUAUAGGAAGGAACACCAGUGGCGAAGGCGACCACCUGGACUAAUACUGACACUGAGGUGCGAAAGCGUGGGGAGCAAACA
rnacentral:rRNA from 1 species